rnacentral:rRNA from 1 species
GGUUAAGCGACUAAGCGUACACGGUGGAUGCCCUGGCAGUCAGAGGCGAUGAAGGACGUGCUAAUCUGCGAUAAGCGUCGGUAAGGUGAUAUGAACCGUUAUAACCGGCGAUUUCCGAAUGGGGAAACCCAGUGUGAUUCGACACACUAUCAUUAACUGAAUCCAUAGGUUAAUGAGGCGAACCGGGGGAACUGAAACAUCUAAGUACCCCGAGGAAAAGAAAUCAACCGAGAUUCCCCCAGUAGCGGCGAGCGAACGGGGAGCAGCCCAGAGCCUGAAUCAGUGUGUGUGUUAGUGGAAGCGUCUGGAAAGGCGCGCGAUACAGGGUGACAGCCCCGUACACAAAAAUGCACAUGCUGUGAGCUCGAUGAGUAGGGCGGGACACGUGGUAUCCUGUCUGAAUAUGGGGGGACCAUCCUCCAAGGCUAAAUACUCCUGACUGACCGAUAGUGAACCAGUACCGUGAGGGAAAGGCGAAAAGAACCCCGGCGAGGGGAGUGAAAAAGAACCUGAAACCGUGUACGUACAAGCAGUGGGAGCACGCUUAGGCGUGUGACUGCGUACCUUUUGUAUAAUGGGUCAGCGACUUAUAUUCUGUAGCAAGGUUAACCGAAUAGGGGAGCCGAAGGGAAACCGAGUCUUAACUGGGCGUUAAGUUGCAGGGUAUAGACCCGAAACCCGGUGAUCUAGCCAUGGGCAGGUUGAAGGUUGGGUAACACUAACUGGAGGACCGAACCGACUAAUGUUGAAAAAUUAGCGGAUGACUUGUGGCUGGGGGUGAAAGGCCAAUCAAACCGGGAGAUAGCUGGUUCUCCCCGAAAGCUAUUUAGGUAGCGCCUCGUGAAUUCAUCUCCGGGGGUAGAGCACUGUUUCGGCAAGGGGGUCAUCCCGACUUACCAACCCGAUGCAAACUGCGAAUACCGGAGAAUGUUAUCACGGGAGACACACGGCGGGUGCUAACGUCCGUCGUGAAGAGGGAAACAACCCAGACCGCCAGCUAAGGUCCCAAAGUCAUGGUUAAGUGGGAAACGAUGUGGGAAGGCCCAGACAGCCAGGAUGUUGGCUUAGAAGCAGCCAUCAUUUAAAGAAAGCGUAAUAGCUCACUGGUCGAGUCGGCCUGCGCGGAAGAUGUAACGGGGCUAAACCAUGCACCGAAGCUGCGGCAGCGACGCUGAUGCGUUGUUGGGUAGGGGAGCGUUCUGUAAGCCUGCGAAGGUGUGCUGUGAGGCAUGCUGGAGGUAUCAGAAGUGCGAAUGCUGACAUAAGUAACGAUAAAGCGGGUGAAAAGCCCGCUCGCCGGAAGACCAAGGGUUCCUGUCCAACGUUAAUCGGGGCAGGGUGAGUCGACCCCUAAGGCGAGGCCGAAAGGCGUAGUCGAUGGGAAACAGGUUAAUAUUCCUGUACUUGGUGUUACUGCGAAGGGGGGACGGAGAAGGCUAUGUUGGCCGGGCGACGGUUGUCCCGGUUUAAGCGUGUAGGCUGGUUUUCCAGGCAAAUCCGGAAAAUCAAGGCUGAGGCGUGAUGACGAGGCACUACGGUGCUGAAGCAACAAAUGCCCUGCUUCCAGGAAAAAGCCUCUAAGCAUCAGGUAACAUCAAAUCGUACCCCAAACCGACACAGGUGGUCAGGUAGAGAAUACCAAGGCGCUUGAGAGAACUCGGGUGAAGGAACUAGGCAAAAUGGUGCCGUAACUUCGGGAGAAGGCACGCUGAUAUGUAGGUGAAGUCCCUCGCGGAUGGAGCUGAAAUCAGUCGAAGAUACCAGCUGGCUGCAACUGUUUAUUAAAAACACAGCACUGUGCAAACACGAAAGUGGACGUAUACGGUGUGACGCCUGCCCGGUGCCGGAAGGUUAAUUGAUGGGGUUAGCGCAAGCGAAGCUCUUGAUCGAAGCCCCGGUAAACGGCGGCCGUAACUAUAACGGUCCUAAGGUAGCGAAAUUCCUUGUCGGGUAAGUUCCGACCUGCACGAAUGGCGUAAUGAUGGCCAGGCUGUCUCCACCCGAGACUCAGUGAAAUUGAACUCGCUGUGAAGAUGCAGUGUACCCGCGGCAAGACGGAAAGACCCCGUGAACCUUUACUAUAGCUUGACACUGAACAUUGAGCCUUGAUGUGUAGGAUAGGUGGGAGGCUUUGAAGUGUGGACGCCAGUCUGCAUGGAGCCGACCUUGAAAUACCACCCUUUAAUGUUUGAUGUUCUAACGUUGACCCGUAAUCCGGGUUGCGGACAGUGUCUGGUGGGUAGUUUGACUGGGGCGGUCUCCUCCUAAAGAGUAACGGAGGAGCACGAAGGUUGGCUAAUCCUGGUCGGACAUCAGGAGGUUAGUGCAAUGGCAUAAGCCAGCUUGACUGCGAGCGUGACGGCGCGAGCAGGUGCGAAAGCAGGUCAUAGUGAUCCGGUGGUUCUGAAUGGAAGGGCCAUCGCUCAACGGAUAAAAGGUACUCCGGGGAUAACAGGCUGAUACCGCCCAAGAGUUCAUAUCGACGGCGGUGUUUGGCACCUCGAUGUCGGCUCAUCACAUCCUGGGGCUGAAGUAGGUCCCAAGGGUAUGGCUGUUCGCCAUUUAAAGUGGUACGCGAGCUGGGUUUAGAACGUCGUGAGACAGUUCGGUCCCUAUCUGCCGUGGGCGCUGGAGAACUGAGGGGGGCUGCUCCUAGUACGAGAGGACCGGAGUGGACGCAUCACUGGUGUUCGGGUUGUCAUGCCAAUGGCACUGCCCGGUAGCUAAAUGCGGAAGAGAUAAGUGCUGAAAGCAUCUAAGCACGAAACUUGCCCCGAGAUGAGUUCUCCCUGACCCUUUAAGGGUCCUGAAGGAACGUUGAAGACGACGACGUUGAUAGGCCGGGUGUGUAAGCGCAGCGAUGCGUUGAGCUAACCGGUACUAAUGAACCGUGAGGCUUAACCUUAC